rnacentral:ncRNA from 2 species
GAACUGAAGAGUUUGAUCCUGGCUCAGAUUGAACGCUGGCGGCAUGCUUUACACAUGCAAGUCG